rnacentral:rRNA from 1 species
UAGGGAAUCUUCCGCAAUGGGCGAAAGCCUGACGGAGCAACGCCGCGUGAGUGAUGAAGGUCUUCGGAUCGUAAAACUCUGUUAUUAGGGAAGAAUAAAUGUGUAAGUAACUAUGCACGUCUUGACGGUACCUAAUCAGAAAGCCACGGCUAACUACGUGCCAGCAGCCGCGGUAAUACGUAGGUGGCAAGCGUUAUCCGGAAUUAUUGGGCGUAAAGCGCGCGUAGGCGGUUUUUUAAGUCUGAUGUGAAAGCCCACGGCUCAACCGUGGAGGGUCAUUGGAAACUGGAAAACUUGAGUGCAGAAGAGGAAAGUGGAAUUCCAUGUGUAGCGGUGAAAUGCGCAGAGAUAUGGAGGAACACCAGUGGCGAAGGCGACUCUCUGGUCUGUAACUGACGCUGAGGCUCGAAAGCGUGGGUAGCAAACAGG